ensembl:lncRNA
AACCCACCGGUUAGGCCAGGUCAUGACAGGGCUUGCUUUUCGGCUUCAGAAGUGCCAGGGCCAAUGCUGAAUAGCUGGUAGGCAGAUGAACCCUCAGCACUAAUAAGAAGGAGGACACCAGAACAUCACUUGUUGGUACCAGUGUCCUUAUGGUGGUAUGAGUUCCCCAAAAUUGUUGAUACCAGCAUCUAUAUCCUCAGGAGGAGUCCCAGUUGCCUCCAUUCUUUAUGGGAGGCUCUUUAAGAUCAACAGAAACUAUUAUCACUCCUAGGAAUAUGUCCCUAAAGAUAUCGUCACCCAGAUCCAUAAAGAAAUAUGUACCAUGAUGUUUUCCACAACAUUGUGUGUAUGGAGCGGAGAUGCAGGGCAAAGGAGAAGGAGGUGGCUGGGGAUGAGAUGAAUAGAUGGUAUCACUGACUCAAUGGACAUGAAUUUGAGCCAACUCUGGGAGACAGUGGAGGACAGAGGAGCCUGGUGUGCUGCAGUCCAUGGGCACAACUUAGCAACUGAACAACAACGACAGUAUCUUAUCACCUUGACAGCUUCAGCAAGAAUCCUGUCCAGUUGGUUUAACCAGAAUCCCCUUGUCUCUUAUGUCUCCUCCUCUUGAAUUAUCAUCCCAGCCCUUCACCCUGCC